rnacentral:rRNA from 1 species
GAUGAACGCUGGCGGCGUGCCUAACACAUGUAAGUCGAGCGAAACACUUACUUUUUGUUUUUUUGCUCGAACGAAGUUUGUGUUUGUGCCGCGUACGUGUGCUUAACUCGUCUUCAACCUGCCCUUUACAGGGUGAUAAUAGUUCGAGAUAACUCCUUAUACUGCAUAAGCCUACAGCUUCUCUUUAAGCUGUGGGAUAAACUCGGGUGGUACCGGAUUGGCGCUCGUCUGAUUAGCUAGUAGGUAAGGUAACGGCUUACCAAGGCGACGAUCAGUAGCCGAGCGGGGAGGGUGACAGGCGACAUUGGGACUGGGACACGGUCCAAACUGCGACGGGAGGGAGGAAUGGGGAAUAAUGCACAAUGGGGGAAAGCCUGAUGGAGGGACGCCGGGUGAGGGAUGAAGUAUUUCGGAAUGUAAAGCUCAAUGAGCAGGGAAGAAAGUGACGGUACCUGAAGAAGAAGCACCGGCUAACUACGUG